AUCUGUAAAAUAGUAUGAGAAUAGUCACUGUGUUCUAAGAUUGCUUUGAAGAUUAACAUGAGUUAAUAAUAUCUAUAAUACUUACAAGGGUGCCUGGCACACAGUAACCAUGCAUAAAUGCUAAUUAUUAUAUUUACUAUUAGUAGUAAUUGGACAGGUAGCAAAGAAGAUCCUUCAACUUUCUAUGUCUCUCAGUGGUCUGAAACUUCCAUCUGAUACUAUUUAAAAGAAUUUGGGUAAGUCCUCAUACAGAAAAUGAGUCUUUCUUAAUUUUGGAAUGAUGAAAAAACACUGGGUUUUAGUCCCACCAGGAUCUUCUACCUGGAAAGGAACUGAGCCAGGUGGGUGGGCAGUACAGCAAUGGAAGGAGGGAGUAGGGAACUGAUCCUGUCUGCAAAGACAAGAGAACAAGGAGACCCUGGGGAAUGCAGAACCUGGCACUGUUUUCCUCCAACUACCAUGAAAAUGGCCAGACUGCCUGAUAUGGUUUGGCUGUCCCAACUUGAAUUUUGUCUCCUAGAAUUCCCACAUGCUGUGGGAGGGACCCAGGGGGAGGUAAUUGAAUGAUGGGGGCCGGUCUUUCCCAUGAUAUUGAAUAGGUCUCAUGAGAUCUGAUGGGCUUAUCAGGGAUUUCCACUUUUGCUUCUUCCUCAUAUUCUCUUGCCACCACCGUGUAAGAAGUACCUUUCACCUCCCGCCAUGAUUCUGAGGACUCCCCAGCCAUGUGGAAGUCACACACACGUACUCCUGAACUGGACACCUGGCCAGGCCAAGGAAAAAGGAGAAACUCUUUUGUAAGGUGGGAAGGAUGCACCCCCUUAGCUACAGACAGGCUUCCAGGUGGCUCGCCUUCUACUAGUAGAACAGACUUGCUUGCAUAUGAAAUGGCCUGCCAGUGAGGAUAUGCACUGUAAUGUGGUUUCAGUAGCAAAUGUGCAACCAAUCUACAUCUCCAUAAAUAAGAG